UUUGGUACUUAAAGAGAGGAUACCCUUUGUAUGUUCACUUGAUUAAUGGCGAAUAUACAGGGGGAGACUCUCAUUUGCGUAUCAAA
ensembl:miRNA MIR1185-2 microRNA 1185-2